GCUCCCACUGCUUCACUUGACCA
rnacentral:piRNA from 1 species